CUAUUCAUUAUCACAGAAAUUAUGGGAUUUCCUUGUUCAUUGCUUGUAAAGUUUAUCUUUUACUUCUAUUUCAUGUAGAAAAUUGCGGUUGGUUAAUCUAUGUGGACUGAUGUGCAUUUCUGUGUGUUUGCAUUUUUGUUUUUAAUGAUUCAAAAAGAUAGAUGACUUGGCUAUUUGGAUUGAGAAAACUGGCGGGAUUAAAAAAAUAGGAUACUUGGUUUUUCAGGAUAUCGCGCACGAGACGUACUCGGUACUCCUCCUAUAUAGUGCCGCCGAGUAUAAGUUAUUCUUCACCGCAACAAUUUACCGAUCCUAAGGAAUUGGAGAAUAUGAUUGACAAGAUUGUCCUUCAUCAAUUGGGUAUAAAGUAUAUGGAUGAUGCUUCUACUAAUGAUAGUACACCACAACCGUCCAUUGGUAUAGAUAUUACUGAAUAUAUAACUAAAUUGGUAGAAAAGAAGUUUACCAACUUCCUUUAAACAUUUACCGACUAUGAUUCACUAGAUGUAUUUACUAAUAAUUAUAUUUUUGUUUUUGUCCUUCAUUAAUAUCUCUCUAUCUAUUAAUUUAAGUUCACCAGGUUUAUUUUUUCUUAUUCCUCAUCUUGUUGAAAUUGAAUUUUGGUGUUUCUUUUGCAGGAGGAACUUUACAGGCCCAACCUUGAUUUCCUUGAAGAAAAUGAUGAUGAAGUGGACUUAACAUGAUGUACACUUCAUUCCUUCUAGCUCGUUAGUUUUUCAGUUUUCUUAUGUUAAUUAUUAAAUAUUGUAAGUACUAUGAUCUUUGGGAGAUCAAGAUACAAUAACAAAUUCUGUACUUAUCGUGACUUGAGCUGUUGAGCAUUUUCAAUUUAUAUAUGGAGUAUUAGUUUUAAUUUUUGGCUCUUUAUGCAGUUUAUCAAUUAGUUUGAAACAAG
rnacentral:lncRNA from 1 species